UACGAAGGGGGCUAGCGUUGCUCGGAAUCACUGGGCGUAAAGGGCGCGUAGGCGGCCUGGCAAGUGGAAGGUGAAAUCCCUCGGCUUAACCGAGGAACUGCCCUCCAAACUGCUUGGCUUGAGUCCGGAGAGGUGAGUGGAAUUCCCAGUGUAGCGGUGAAAUGCGUAGAUAUUGGGAGGAACACCAGUGGCGAAGGCGGCUCACUGGACCGGAACUGACGCUGAGGCGCGAAAGCGUGGGGAGCAACGGG
rnacentral:rRNA from 1 species